AUACUUACCUGGACGGGGUCAAUGGAUUAUCCAUAAGGCCCAUCGCCUAGGUUGGCGACCUCCAUUGCACUUUGGAAGGGUGUCUGCCUAAGAUUGACCCUAGUGGUUGAGUCUGCGUCAUAAUUUGUUCUAGAGGGGGCAUGUGUUCGCGCUUUCCCUGC